UACAUAGGGUGCAAGGCGUUGCCCGGAUUUAUUGGGCGUAAAGAGUUCGUAGGCGGUUUUUCGCGUCGGAAUGUGAAAACUCAGGGCUCAACCCUGAGCCUGCAUUCGAUACGGGAAGACUCGAGGACGGCAGGGGAGACUGGAACUUCUGGUGUAGCGGUGGAAUGCGCAGAUAUCAGAAAGAACACCAAUGGCGAAGGCAGGUCUCUGGGCCGAUCCGUGACGCUGAGGAACGAAAGCGUGGGGAGCAAACAGG
rnacentral:rRNA from 1 species